rnacentral:rRNA from 1 species
GACGAACGCUGGCGGCGUGCUUAACACAUGCAAGUCGAACGGGAUCCGGGCUUUCGGGUUUGGUGAGAGUGGCGAACGGGUGAGUAACACGUGAGUAACCUGCCCCCUUCUUUGGGAUAACGUCGGGAAAUCGGCGCUAAUACUGGAUAUUCUUGCUGCAUCUCCUGGUGUGGUUUGGAAAGGGUUUCUGGUGGGGGAUGGGCUCGCGGCCUAUCAGCUUGUUGGUGGGGUGAUGGCCUACCAAGGCUUUGACGGGUAGCCGGCCUGAGAGGGUGUCCGGCCACACUGGGACUGAGACACGGCCCAGACUCCUACGGGAGGCAGCAGUGGGGAAUAUUGCACAAUGGGCGCAAGCCUGAUGCAGCGACGCCGCGUGAGGGAUGACGGCCUUCGGGUUGUAAACCUCUUUCAGUAUGGAACAAGGAUCCUUCGUUUGGGGGGUUUGAGGGUACGUGCAGAAGAAGCGCCGGCUAACUACGUG